rnacentral:lncRNA from 10 species
AAAACAAGAAAAGAAAGCAUGCAUGUUCUCCAGGCUUCUUCUGGGUCGUUUUGUUUUGGACACAUUGCUAUUGUACCAUCAGUACUUUGUUGUGGCAGGAACAUUCGCAGCUCCCUGAAUAUUCCUGUGCUCCCCCACAUUUCCAGUCCCUUUACAGUUAAAGCCGUGUGACUUGUUUGAGCCAAUAGAGUGGAAGUGGAAGAGAAGUAUGUCACUGCGAGACUGAAGGAAUAAAGAGCUGAUGUGUCAUCCUUCAUUUCUCCCUUGCCUCUGUACGAUAACCGGGAGUUCCCAUUUUGAGAAGUACA